rnacentral:rRNA from 1 species
UACGUAGGGUGCGAGCGUUAAUCGGAAUUACUGGGCGUAAAGGGUGCGCAGGCGGUUUUGUAAGCCAGACGUGAAAUCCCCGGGCUUAACCUGGGAACUGCGUUUGGAACUGCAAGACUAGAGUGUGUCAGAGGGAGGUGGAAUUCCACGUGUAGCAGUGAAAUGCGUAGAUAUGUGGAGGAACACCGAUGGCGAAGGCAGCCUCCUGGGAUAACACUGACGCUCAUGCACGAAAGCGUGGGGAGCAAACAGG